CAUCUCGUACAUAUAGUAGGAUCUCCAAUCCUCUCGAAAAGUACUUGAGUAUGCUUAACAGAGGAUGUAGAAAAAAUUAUUUCUCAUGGGAGAUAGAGAACAUAGAGAUGAUCCCAGAAUCUACAACGAGGCGAUAUGAGACAUCGACUUCAAAAAAAGAUGUGAAAUAGCUUUCCUGAGUAGAGAUCUUUUGAAGAUUUCUAUGUGGAAUAGCCUAUGAAUUUUACUUCUUGUGAUAGGUAAUCAUAAAAACCACAAUACUCUUGGAGUUGGAAUAUUCAUUUCAAUGAUAUGAUCAAAUUGUUUGAUCACAUAUGAGAAAUUAUGGAUUUCAAAAGGAUC
rnacentral:lncRNA from 1 species